UUGAGCUGGAAGGGGGAUCCUGGCCAUCAUUCUAGACAGCUGCCAUGGGUGCUGUAAAAAUUCAGGCUGCCCUCUGCUAGGUAAAGCUUGGCGUCCUUUCUCCUGCUGGCAACUCGGGCACCCUAUUGUGCCGCCAUUUUGGGCCCUUUCCUGGCUUUUUGAAUCAUGAACUCAGAAGCUCAAUACCCCACAUUCAUAAACCAGUAUGUAUAUGUUUUGGAAGAACUGAACAUUAUCUUUUAAGGAUGUUCAGUUGCCUUGACUCCUUUUUUAAGGAGAAAGGCAGGUUAACCAUUAGAGUGUUUCUUAAACUUGGGUUACUCAGGUGUUUUUGAACUGCAACUCCCAGAAACCCCAGCCAGCACAGCUGGUGGUGAAGGCUUCUGGGAGUUGCAGUCCAAAACACCUGAGUAACCCAAGGUUAAGAACCACUGCUUUAAAAGACAGAUAAAUCUAUAUAUACAAAUAAGCAUAUUUUGUGCUUGUGCUUAACCACGGCUUGUUGUCAGCGGUAUCAGAGAUCCAGAGAAGGGAGAUAUUCAUUUUUCAUGCAUCUAUGAAUAGGGAGAUCACUAACAUACAAGGUUAGUGCUUUCCCUUUGGUUAACCUACUUGGCCGGCUCAGGUUGGCAGUGUUCUGUGAUCUCACAAACCUUGGCCAGGCCAUCUUCUGACAACAGCAUUACUCAGGAGGAGGGGGACCAAGGCUCACUCUGUUGAGAGACAGCCAGCGUGAAGGAAUCACAGAGUUGAUCCUGCGAUCCGUCCCUAUUUUUCCAUCAGAAAAUGCUGUGUCUCACCGUGUUCAUUGCUCACCUACUCGAGAGAUGGACAAGCAGACCAUAUCCUGAUCUGGACGAUCCUCCCGAGGAGGAAGAAAAAGAAUUUGGCCUGGCUACAGAUCAAAGGAGGAGGAGGAGCAGGAGGAAGGAGGAGGAGAAAGAGGAAAAGCAGCACUGAUGGCAUUAGAGAACAAAUUGAUCACUUCUGGUAGAUUUGUUGAUGAAACC
rnacentral:lncRNA from 1 species